GCCGCGAUGGCACAACCUGGUACUGCGUCAGCCUUGAGAGCUGAUGGCCGAAAGGCCUUUCCGGUUCAAAACAAUGAUGUGUUAAAUGGUCCUUAAAAAGAUUUUUUGCACAGAGCCUGCUUCGCAGGCUCGAUUGUCGAAAGUCCGGAUCGCGGCG
rnacentral:tRNA from 1 species